GUAAAGAGGAGAGACACCAGGAGAGACGGGCGGAAGAGUCGCCGAAUGGUGACCAGAGAAAGACGUGAGAAAGACGUGAGAAAGACGUGCGGGCCGGCGCGUGCACUCAGACGGACGCUAAGAAAAGGCGUGCAGUUCCGCAAGGAAACUCGGGUGGGCGCUAAAGAGAGAAAGUGAAAACGAAAGAAAAUAAGGAAAGGAACAUGGGCACGUUGUCGUUCUUGUCGAUGACGCACACCUCUACACUAAAGCUCUGCGGGUGCAUGGAUGCCAUGAAGGACACCUGGAAGAAAGGCACAGGAGGAUUUAAUGGUCACAUAGCAAGUCUCUUUUUUACAGUGCCCACAGUGAAGCCUUUCAUCCUAUGAUGUGGCUUGCAAUUUUUUCACAGCAAUUGUCAGGUAUUUUUGGCGCAGCCUUGAAUGGGAUAGAUUGGAUACUCAGUGGCAGUCCAGGCUUUUUUUGUUGCUAAAUUGCAUUUCAAUUCAUUGUAAGUAAUAAUUAAACCAAUUAUAACGAAUGAUGACGAAAAUAGUGACCACAUUCGUGACCAUUCUGACGAAGUUUCUGAAGUGGACUGACAGUUUGGAUUCAAUGUAAUUAAAUAAUUCAUUCUCUA